CAGAAGAACAUGGAAGCCAUGUGAAAAAAACGGAUCCUAAGGCAGUUUUGAACAUCUGGAGGCCUGAUUUAUUGGAGAUUGCAAAUGUACAGUGUAACAUAGCUGUGGAGAGCGAGAAGAUCAGGAUUGUCAAUGCUGUCAUUGCUUUUACUGGAAUCCCCAGCACGAAUUGAAGGUCUCACUUUGCCACCUAGGCUGGAUGCAAUGCAACGGUAUGUUGAUCUUGGUUCACUGCAGCCUCAACCUCCUGAGCUCAUGUGAUCCUCCCACCUCAGUCCCCCACGUCGCUUGGAUUACAGGCCUGUGCCACCACACCUGGCUAACUUUUUUUGUAAUUUUUGUAGAGACAGGGUCUCACUAUGUUUCCCAUGCUGGUCUUUAAUGCCUGAGCUCAAGCCAUCCGCCUGCCUCGGCCUCCCAAAUUGCUGGGAUUACAGGCAUGAGCCACCAUGCCCAGCCUAAUUCUUCUAAAUCUUAUCCUAGUAAUUAAGCCAGAAUUUUUCUCUGCCAAGACCAAUAGAUGGACCAAGAAGUACUCAUCCUUGUAAACUUUCUUUGGAUAAAUUGCUUACAUAUAAUAAAUUCAGAGUUAAGUAAUAAAAAUAAUGAACUACUGUCUU
rnacentral:lncRNA from 1 species